GGUGUGAAGCUCUAAGGCGUAGGAGCCUCGGGGAGGGUGAGCCAAGAGGGACGUGGCGCUCUGCGGCGCGGACUAGGAAGCCGCGCCCCUUCCUUCUUGGGCUUUCAUGGAGAAUCCUGUGGAGCAGGAUUAGGGGUCCCACCUGGCCGAGUUCCUCAUUGCAUUUAGAAUGGAAGAGAGGGAGGCAGUAAUACUUAUAAGAGAUGGCCCAAAGACUCCUUCAUUCCAGAUCCUGAAAUCAUAAAAAAUGGGGGAAAGGGCGCUGUAUCUCUCUGGCUACUACCUGCUCGAUAGGGGUGACGGUUUUGGGUCUGGAACAGAGGAUCGUCCUAGGACCCAGGGUCUCCUUUUCCUGAGCUUGGGAUGAGGCUCUUGAGAAGAAGAAUGGUCUUGACCUGGUCUCAAGAGAUGGCCCGAGUCAGUUCUUGGAGAAACCUUUGAAACAGAUUGAAGAGACAGGGUCCAAAUAAGAGGAAUAAAAUGAUAAGUACCAGUGGUCCCAGGAAAGGGAGCAACCAAGGGAGGGCCUGUUGGAACAGGUUUUGGGGACUGUAAAGGUUUUGUAACUCUUUUCUGUAGCAUUCAAUUCUAAGUUCUUUGACUCUGCCCUGGACUAUGCCCUUUUCAUUAACAAAAUAGCAGCUGUCCUCUCCUAGGAAAAGGCAAGUCCCUCCCUUUUUCACGAUGAAAAGGUCCAGGGCUCACCUAUUUUGUAGGACCACAGAAGCUAAUGAGUUAAUUUGUCUUUGAAUUGAAACGAAGGACUCCACUACAUGCUCCAUGUCUUCAUUAAGUUCUUGGGAUAUGCUAAGUCACUUCAGU